GGCGUUAUAGUUUAAUAGUUAAAGCGUUGGGGUCUUAUAUUAGAUUAUUAUAUAGUAUUUUUAAAUUAUAUUUAAUAGUAUAUUCUUCGGAUUAUUUUUAAUAGCUAUCCUUAAAAAUUGCGGGUUCGAAUCCUAUUGGCGCUA